GUAAAGGUGGCUGAAAAUAGGUGGUGGGUUGUAAUUCCAUUUAUGGGGUAAAAUCCCCUCUUUACA
rnacentral:tRNA from 1 species